GGAGGAAGGGCGUAGUAAUCAACGAAAUGUUUCGGGGAGUUGAAAAUCAACAUAGAUCCGGAGAUUCCCGAAUAGGGCAACCUUUCGAACUGCUGGUGAAUCCAUGGGCAGGC
rfam:Nicotiana attenuata strain TT chromosome 5, whole genome shotgun sequence.